rnacentral:rRNA from 1 species
AUGUCCACGGCGGCGGGCGCUGCUUUGUUGCUAGCCGCCGCCGUCGUCUGCUCCUCGGCGGACGGCGAGAGCGAGGCUCGCCGUCGCGCAGUCCCCGCCGUGUACGUGUUCGGCGACUCCCUCGUGGACGUCGGCAACAACGACUUCCUGCCGCCGCCGGCGCCCAGGGCGGGUUCCCCCUGCGGCGUCGACCUGCCGCGCGCGAUCCCCGGCGGACGGACCGGGAGGUUCACCAACGGCUACAACCUGGCCGACAUCAUCGCACAACGUGUGGGGUUUGACAUGAGCCCGUUAGCUUACCUCUCCUUGACACCGCAAGCGAGCCUCGACCUCCUGAGCAGCCACGUUGGGGCCAAUUAUGCUUCCGGUGGAUCAGGAAUCCUUGACGACACUGGGAACGGCACGAUCACGCUCCGAGAACAGGUCAAGAUGUUUGCUGACACCAAGGCGACCAUGAUCAAGGCCAACAAGCUGGGAAAUAAUAGGGUCAAUCGCUUGCUGUCCCAGUCCCUAUUCCUCAUCAGCACUGCAGGCAACGACUUCUUGGCGUUUGGUGACGGUAGGGCAACCAGAAGUGAUGCAUCGGCCUACAUCGCCAAAAUGGUCACCACCUACCUCAAGCACAUCAAGGAGUUGUACAGGCUGGGGGCACGGAGGCUAGGACUGCUGGACGCGCUGCCCAUCGGAUGCUUGCCGGGCUGCAGAACUUCCUUUGGACAUGAUGACGCGUGCGACGCCGCUGCCAACUCUCUGGCCCGGCGGUUCAACGCCCUACUCCGGCUUGAAAUGGCCAGCGCCAAGGCAGCUUCGAUGCCAGGCAUGGAGUACUCCAUCGCCAGCAUUUACGGCAUCUUCUCCGACAUGAUCACCAACCCGGAGCUGGACAACAGACUGCAGGAGGCGACGAGUGCGUGCUGCGGAGGAGGGAGGCUCAACGCGGAGCUCGACUGCUCGGCGAGCUCAAACCUUUGCACCGACCGCGACGGGUACGUGUUCUGGGACAAGGUCCACGGGACGCAGGCUGCCUACCAGCGAGCCGUUGCCGCCAUGUUCGACGGCGCGGCGGUGACAAAGUUCACGGAGCCCGUCAGCUUCGGGCAGUUGAUCACCGGGAAACAGGCAGCGCCGGUUGCCGUGUUAGAUAAACUGGAGCGUCCGUACGUGGAUCUGGAGGCUGAGAUCUAG